rnacentral:rRNA from 1 species
AAUGAACGUUGGCGGCAUGGAUUAGGCAUGCAAGUCGAGCGCGAAGAGUCAUUUGCUUGCAUUUGACUCUGAAAGCGGCGUAAGGGUGAGUAACGCGUAGUUACCUACCUCCGGGUCCGGAAUAGCUGCGGGAAACUGCAGGUAAUGCCGGAUAAUAUCUCAGGAUCAAAGGUGAGAUUCCGCCCGGAGAGGGGACUGCGUCCUACUAGCUUGUUGGUGGGGUAAUGGCCUACCAAGGCUUCGAUGGGUAGCGGGCGUGAGAGCGUGGCCCGUCACGAUGGGACUGAGACACUGCCCAGACACCUACGGGUGGCUGCAGUCGAGAAUCUUCGGCAAUGGGCGAAAGCCUGACCGAGCAAUGCCGCGUGCGGGAUGAAGGCCCUCGGGUUGUAAACCGCGAAAGUAAGGAGGAAGGACCUGCGAAGAGCAGGUUUUGACCGAUCUACAGUAAGGACGGGCUAAGUUCGUGCCAGCCGCCGCCGUAA